CUCUCUUUUUCAGCCCUAUAUAAACACUCUGUGUGAGCCUUUGUUAAGCUUCUCUUGUUUUUGAUUCAACCUGUUCUGCCUCUUUAACACCUUCACUUCAACUGAAAACUCUUACAGACACGAAGGUCCUUGUUGGAUACAACGGGAAAUGGGGAGUGCAGAAUCAAGAUCAAACACACAUGUGGCCAAUGCAACAGAUAAGCCCUUGAGAAUUUACUAUCAGACAUCAAAGAUGACGCUUGAAGAGCUUGUGAUCAAAGCAGAUGCAGGGCUUGGUUUUUCCAACUCGAGUGUCUCAGGAAAUGUGAACACCAGCACCUCAAUGGUUUUUAAACCUGACUCGCGAGUGCGCUACCUCCGCCUUCCUCCUAGAGAAUUCACUAACUUCGCAGGGGAAGGGGAGCUGUUUGCCAGCGUCCUUGUGGAAGAUAAAAGCAACCCAGAGGUCUACCUCAAGUGCAUCUGCAUGAACUUCCAUGUUCCCAGUGACCGAUCCUUCAUUGUGACAGCCAGUGAAAACAUCAAGCUCCAGAAGUACGGUGCAUCAGUCUGGGUUGAUGAGAAUGGAGUGAGACAUUAAAGAUAUUAAUAAUCCUUUUUGAUAAGUGUACAUCUUUCAUGUGAUUUCCAUUCCAAUUCAUGAAUAAGUUCUUCUAAAACUGAGAUUGUGUGCUGUGGGAUUGGACAACAGCCACUGUUUAAAAUGUGCUUCAUGAAUAAAAAAUUGAUUUGAUGACAA